GUCCCUGUAGAUCAUGGUCGAUCAUCCCAAUUCAUUAGUGGUGUGUGAAUCGUCCUACAUAUGUUGGGAAGCUGGUGGUUCGAUUCCGCCCGGGGACA